rnacentral:rRNA from 1 species
UACGGAGGGUGCAAGCGUUAUCCGGAUUUACUGGGUUUAAAGGGUGCGCAGGCGGAUACGUAAGUCAGUGGUGAAAUCUCCGGGCUUAACCCGGAACUGCCGUUGAUACUAUAUAUCUUGAAUGCUGUGGAGGUAAGCAGAAUAUGUCAUGUAGCGGUGAAAUGCUUAGAGAUGACAUAGAAUACCUAUUGCGAAGGCAGCUUACUACGCAGAUAUUGACGCUCAUGCACGAAAGCCGUGGGGAUCAAACAGGA